rnacentral:rRNA from 1 species
CGACCGCAAGGUNGAAACUCAAAGGAAUUGACGGGGGCCCGCACAAGCGGUGGAGCAUGUGGUUUANUUNGAAGCAACGCGAAGAACCUUACCAGGUCUUGACAUCCCGAUGCCCGCUCUAGAGAUAGAGUUUUACUUCGGUACAUCGGUGACAGGNGGUGCAUGGUUGUCGUCAGCUCGUGUCGUGAGAUGUUGGGNNAANNNANNNNNNCGAGCGCAACCCUUAUUGUUAGUUGCCAUCAUUUAGUUGGGCACUCUAGCGAGACUGCCGGUAAUAAACCGGAGGAAGGUGGGGAUGACGUCAAAUCAUCAUGCCCCUUAUGACCUGGGCUACACACGUGCUACAAUGGCUGGUACAACGAGUCGCAAGUCGGUGACGGCAAGCUAAUCUCUUAAAGCCAGUCUCAGUUCGGAUNGUAGGCUGCAACUCGCCUACAUGAAGUCGGAAUCGCUAGUAAUCGCGGAUCAGCACGCCGCGGNGAAUACGUUCCCGGGC